rnacentral:lncRNA from 1 species
UCCAGAAUAAAAAGUUACAUCACAAAAGUACAAAGAAAAGUACAACCAGAGGAAGCAUGAUUCUUGACUUCCUAUCUGAGUUAUGAGAUCGACCAAAUCAAAGACCAUUAAUCUAAAGCCUUUCUCCAAUUUGAGUGUGUUAGAGAUUCUUAAGAGCCUCAAUGGAACUCCGGGUAGUGCUCACACCCAAAUUGUAUCACCAGAAUAGGGACAAGUGCAGUGUGGAAGUGCCAGCCCUCAAGUAUCCAAGUUCAGAGGGAGCUUAAAGUGUCCCAAGGCAAGGCUCACAAGAGGGAGGGCAGAACUUAGGUCUAAGAGAGAGUGCAAGUGCAGAAAUAGAGUUUUAAGAACUAAGGAAGUAAAGAAGAGGGAAAGAGAUGUUGGGAAAUAGUUACAGAGCGAAGGAUUUCACACAAAUGGGGUUCAGGGAUUGGGAACUGCAAAUAGCCUAUGUACUUAGGCAUUAGUUAAUUUUGGUCAUGCACAACAAUAGGGAGUGUUUUCAUGCUUACAAAAUCAACCAGAAUACACAACAUAUAAUGGUAAUAUAGAGGUUAUAAUCCUAGGGGAAUCAAGUUUGAGUCAUAGACAACAAUAUUUAGUACUGUCAUACCUGAAACAAGCCAUCAGUACCAAACACAUUGGAAUAUGGGUUUAGGAUGCAUAAUACAUUCAGAACAGGCAGAAGGGAAUUACAACAUGCUCAGAGUAAAGUGCUGAAUUAAAAACAAGCAGUAGACAGACAAGAAAACAAAAAUAUUAAAUAAACAUAUUGUUGUGAUGAUGAAAUCUUAAUCAGUACAUACCAGUUCAAAGAAACAAAAAUACAGUAAAAGCAGGUAGCAGGACUUUGAAGACAUGCCACAAUACAAGUAACAAGAGAGAAUAUUUUGAGUAUGGAUAUGAGUUCAAAAACUAAGAGUGUUCGUGUGUCCUUGUGUUAAUGAAAGAGCAAUGUACUUAUAGUUUGAAAACAAGUAGAAAAUAAGGCAAGAAUCAUAGUUUAGUAGUAAUUAUAGAACUAUGUGUCAAUUAAAAUAGAAUCAGUACUAAGGACUUCCUUUGAUUAAGGAGAUAAAACUAAACGGUAACGGGUAGAAAACAUUUAAGGAAAGAAAUCAUGUAGAGCAUCAUGUGCAUAAUAGGCAAUUAGAAGUAAGUACAUAGAGGUUUAGUUAAGGGAAUAACUAAUGAAUAAUCUUUGUAAUACUCGGUUAACCCAAUAAGGCAAGGAACACAAUAAAUUUGCAGAAUAGGGAGACAAUCAACAGAUAGUAAAUCAAGAAGUCAAGGAUUCGAAAUUACUAAUUUAAGGAGAGUGACAUGGGCUCCCAUGAAUUAAACGAAUUAACCAAUUUAAAGACAAGAGAAUCGAAAGUCUAAAGGGAAAAUUUCAAAUCAAUUCAAGAAUCAGGGAAAUCAGUAAAACAAGAAAAGAAUCAAUUACUUAAUACACGAAUGCAAUCAGAAUUACACAAAGGAGUGGUUUUAAAUCAGUCCACAAUUAAAGGUCAUUUUAUAGGGGAAUUUAAUAUAUAAAAGAGUGCAUAAACAUUAGGCAUGUGAGGCUGAGCUUAUGACAAAGAGAAGGGUAUCAGAAGCAUGCAAAAGGUUCAAGUCAAAAGACUUUUUUGAAAAAUAUAGUCUAGUUUCAAUGAUUGCAAGAAGCCAAAUUACAUAGAGAAGCAGAAGUUGAAACAAAAGGGUUUCAAAUCCAGUCGAGCCACUUCAAACAGAUAAAAUAGCUUCAGAAGCUUGGUUAAGUCCCAAAUAAAUUAGGAUUUUGAAACCAAUCAAAUUCAGGGAUGAUAAACACGUAAAUUACACAGAAAAUAGUCCUAGAACUUGAAUGAACCCCAAACACAAAUAAUCGAACAAAUACUAACACAGAAAUAUGUUCAGAAACCUCAAGAGAAACUAAGACUCUUGACAUGCAAACACCAAUAAAAGAAUAACAUAAGGAAACACAACAGAAUAUGUUGAAAAUCAGAGAAAGCUUCAAAAAUAACUUAACAAAAGAUAAAUCGAAAAAAAAUAAGGGUUCUUGAAGGUAGAGUUUUGAAAGAAAACCUUGAGAAAACACUUAGAAGUUUAGAUCAAACAUAGAUCUAAAACAGAUCUAGAAGAAAUCGGAAGAACCUCAAUGGUUAGGGUUUUAGAAGGAACCCGGAUGGUGAGAAAGGCUUGGAAAAUCAUCGGUCUAAGCAGGAGAAGUCAAGAAUCGAGCUUGAAUAGCCAUGGCUGGUCGGAGCAAUGCCAAAAAUGACCGGAGAUAGCCAUAGAACAGAAAUCAACCAAGGUCUGGACCAAAAUUUUCCAAGAUUCAGCCUUGAAACCAUGAUAAUCGGGCAUAUAGAAGCCAAAUGAGGUAGAUACAGGCCUCCAAUGGCUUUGGAAGUCAUUGAUUUGGGAGAUUUUAGAUGGUGAUUGAGGGUGGCGGCUAGGGUGUGAGAGGGGGUCGAGAAAGAAUUGAGAGAACAAAGGGAUUUAGAGGCGGCUGAAU